CUUCAGAGACGGGGUGGUUGCUGAUCUCGGACGAGCCCCCAAAUGAAAGGCCCCCAAAGCAGGGAGACCUUCACUCAAGUCUCAUGAUGACACAACCCCACAAGAACUCAUAUAAGA
rnacentral:pre_miRNA from 14 species